rnacentral:rRNA from 1 species
GAUGAACGCUGGCGGCGUGCCUAACACAUGCAAGUCGAGCGAACAGACGAGGAGUUUGCUCCUCUGACGUUAGCGGCGGACGGGUUAUUACCACGUGGAUAACCUAUCUAUAAGACUGUGAUAACUUCGGGAAACCUGAGCUAAUACCGGAUAAUAUAUUGAACCUCAUGGUUCUAUAGUGAAAGACGGUUUUGCUGUCACUUAUUGAUUGAUCCUCGCCGCAUUAGCUAGUUGGUAAGGUAACGGCUUACCAAGGCUACGAUGCGUAGCCGACCUGAGAGGGUGAUCGGCCACACUGGAACUGAGACACGGUCCAGACUCCUACGGGAGGCAGCAGUAGGGAAUCUUCCGCAAUGGGCGAAAGCCUGACGGAGCAACGCCGCGUGAGUGAUGAAGGUCUUCGGAUCGUAAAACACUGUUAGUAGGGAGGAAGAAAUGUGUAAGUAACUAUGCACGUCUUGACGGUACCAAAACAGAAAGCCACGGCUAACUACGUG